AAUGACUAGAUUUAUAUCAGCAAAUAACAAUUCAAUUGUAAGCAUUUAGAGUAGAAGACUUGGUAAAAGUUCUUACUUUUAACAGAAAUGUUUAGUGAGAUAAUGGUACAUAAUAAGAGACAUAGAAUCACAAUGUUUAGUGAGAUUUUUUCCAAGCAUAUAAAAAACAUGUAUCUACAAAGAUAAAGUAAUUAAGAUAAAAGUAAUGAGAAUUCUUAUAAGGGAAAUAAAAAAAUAAUCUAAACCAAGUCAAGAAUGAUAAAUGCAAAUACAUUACACACAAACCAUUCUUGCUGUUGUGGACUAAUUCAAUGUGAAAUGGGGUGAUAGCUGAUGAUUGGCAGUGAUAACAUGGAGGUGAUUAACAGUCUUGAUAUACAACCCUGACAUAUAUAAUAUACUUUAAACUUUUGCCUAAAUCACCCUCCUCAUUCCCUUUUGUUAUUUUAUAUCAAGCUUUAAGAUGUCAGCAGGCAUUAUCGGCAACAUCACAAUGCAUGAGGAAAGAUUGCUUUCAUCAAAUGUAUAACUUUCAAAGGGAGAGGGGAAGACCAGUAAAAGAAGGAUGAACAGAUGAUCAGGUUUUCUACAUAUAGAUAUACACAUUGUGAAGCUCUUUUGUUCAUCCUUUGAGCUCACUCUCCAAAAAUGUUCAGAUUGUGGCUCGCAACUGAUAUUUAAUAAUAAAUGUGUAGAAAACCUAAUAAUUUUAACAUCUAUACAGAGAGCUCUUUCAGAGUGAUUCCCCAAAAACCACUAACAUUCUCUGAAUAUUCACCUACAAAACUGAUUAUUGAAAAAUUGACUGAUUGUUGGUGUUUAAGGUCACUUUCAGCAUGUUGGCUACCUGUAUAUCAUGUCAGCCAGUUUUUAUAGGAGGAAGAUGAAUUCCUAAGAGAAAUACAACCAACCUUCGAUGGGAAAACUGAAAAUCCUAGCCAAUAAAGAAUGGAUUUAAAUGCAACUUGUUUAGUUAGGGAAUGACUGGAGUGGGCCCCCUAUUAUGGCAGUCAUCCCCCCUUUUAAGAAAAUUUCUGGAUUCACCACUGAUGUUUAUUGUUCUAGUAGAAAAUAUAAAGUUUUUCAUACAUUUACUGAGAUUGCUUAUGAUGAGAUGUGAUAAAAAGAUCUUCUGUGUAUAACAAAUAAAAAUAAACAAAUAAUACUACAACUUACAAACGAAUAAUAAUGGUUAUUUUGAGUACAUAUAAGCUUUAUGUAUAUUGAUAAAAUUAAAACAAACAUAAAAUAAAAGAAAUUGUAUAUAUACGAAAAGCACCAUUCAAUUUCCAUGCAAAUCUUAUUCAUUAUCCUGGCAUUGAAAUGAAAAACAUAAUAAACUAUACAAUGUAGAUUAUACAUGAAUCAUAUUUUAAAACACUUUACAAUUUCUGAAAGACAUUUUGUCCCUUUAUUUAUUAUGCCAAUUAAUAGAUAAUAUAUUUUAA
rnacentral:lncRNA from 1 species